GUAACAAGGAGGUAACCUGAAGUCGACCUUCAUUAAUAGAGUGAAGAUGUAUUGGUUGGCGGGACCGCUUGCUGGCCACUUGUCUACCACCGAAUAAGCUUAGACCUCUUCGCAAAGGCAAAAGUACGGAUUGUGUUGUUUGUCUUUUCAGGAGGAUAACAAGCAGCCCAUUCAACAUCCAGGUCUAUCUCUCAAUUUCUUUUAUAGUUUUUGUCAUUGUUCAAAAGGCGGAAAUGACAUAGAAGAAAACACUUUGAGAACCAAGAACCUUGCAUAAUGAGAGGGGUAUAUUAUAAGAACAUGAAAUGGCAACCUGCCAUUAAAGUGGACAAAAAACAAAUCCAUCUAGGUACAGUUGGUUCCCAACAAGAAGUUGCUUGUUUCUAUGACAGGGCCACUUUCAUGUGUGGUAGAGAACCGAACUUUGAGCUCACGACUAAGGAGAAGGACGAACUCAGUAAACUGGGUUGGGAUGAUUUCUUAACCAUGACUUGGUCAACAAUCAACAGCAAAAAACAUCAGAGACGGGUUAGUUCCCGAAUGAAGUUCGAGCAUCCGUCACAUAACAGCAGUGACCCGCAUACGAAGGCGGAUCAAGGAGGAAAGAGUUUCUCAGGAUCUGAAGAUGUUGAGACAUUGGGUUCCUGAUGAAUUAAAACUUUAUUAUUGCCAUUUCUUUUGUUAAAACAUUAUAAUCUUUAGCUCUAUUUUUAACAAGUUUUAUGUUA